rnacentral:rRNA from 1 species
GGCGGCAUGCCUUACACAUGCAAGUCGAACGGCAGCACGGGGGCAACCCUGGUGGCGAGUGGCGAACGGGUGAGUAAUACAUCGGAACGUGUCCUGUAGUGGGGGAUAGCCCGGCGAAAGCCGGAUUAAUACCGCAUACGAUCUACGGAAGAAAGCGGGGGAUCCUUCGGGACCUCGCGCUAUAGGGGCGGCCGAUGGCAGAUUAGCUAGUUGGUGGGGUAAAGGCCUACCAAGGCGACGAUCUGUAGCUGGUCUGAGAGGACGACCAGCCACACUGGGACUGAGACACGGCCCAGACUCCUACGGGAGGCAGCAGUGGGGAAUUUUGGACAAUGGGGGAAACCCUGAUCCAGCAAUGCCACGUGUGUGAAGAAGGCCUUCGGGUUGUAAAGCACUUUUGUCCGGAAAGAAAACUUCUGCCCUAAUACGGUGGGAGGAUGACGGUACCGGAAGAAUAAGCACCGGCUAACUACGUGCCAGCAGCCGCGGUAAUACGUAGGGUGCGAGCGUUAAUCGGAAUUACUGGGCGU